UAGCUAAUUAUAUAUUAACAAUAUAUAAUAACUGUACAGUCUUAUAGUUAGUUAUUUUAGGAGUUAUUAACUUUAUAUAUUAUAUGGAAUAAUAUAAAGUUAUAGUAAAAUAUGGUUGUCUUUGAUUGGUGGAUAUCAUAUAUUCCUGAGCUUUUGAAGGUCUGUUGUUAGUGUUACUUUUAAAGAAAUAGCAAGUUGCUGAAGUAGAAUCCUAUUCCGAUUGUGAUGUUGAGAUAUGUCAAUUUGGAGGAGAGGCGUUAUUCUUUGCAACAACUUAUUACAUUUGUUAAAAGCACAGCUGUAAACUUUUUAUCAGUUUAUUGUUAUUGAAGCAAUUGUCCAGCCAACAUUUUAGAAAAUGGAAACUGUGUUUGAAUAGAGUGCGACAUGAGCUUGAAGGGGUUUUAGUUGGAUAAAGCAAAUGAUGGGUGGGUAUUCUGAAAUCUUUUCUUUCUUUCUUUCUUCCUUUUUCUUUUCUUUGAAAAAAUAAAAUAAAAAAGAAGACAGUCCUAUAGAUAUUAGAUAUAUACAUAUAUAUGCAUGUGAGUAUUGGUGGAUGUGGUCCUGUUUGAUGCUCUUCCAGGAGCAGAAACUGAGCGAGCAUGUUGUCUAUUCAUUCCCACCCACAACGUUUUCAUCAUUUCUUUUGGGAAAAGGAAGAAAAAGAAACGGAACAAAGGAGGCAAAAUCCCUGGACAGUUGGUUUUUCAGGCAUCUGCAGUAGAUUCUUGCUUGUGUUGGCUUUCUUACCAAUUCUAUCUGGUUUCACUUUUAAUUCACAAGUUCUAGGGAAAGGACUCUGAGCUUAGGAUAUCCAACAACCACUACCAAAUAUUUGGUGUGAGGGGGUGCGCCCUUUAUUAGAUUUAGGCAUUGCUGGAGCAGUACUACUCUUUUCUUCCGCUCUAAAUAAUACUAAUUCCUGUAUUUCACUUGUCAGUACCACCCCAAAAAACAUCCAUGACUUUACAAUACAUAUGUGUUUUCUCACAAAAGAGUUGACAAUCCUCCAGCAAAUUAAAGUGGGCUAAGCCUUCAACUCACCUGUUUCUGCCCAUUGGACUCACGACCUUGCGCAGCCUUUGCAAAAAUCUUAAUAUCCUGCUCCGCAUACAUGGCACAUGUAAGCUGAAACCGAACUUGGCUAGGAACGUCAAAAAGUCGGACUUGGCUAAGCUUGCUAACCCAAAAUUGGUCCAUACUUAAUACUAUUUCGUUUUCCUUGUUACCAGUCAUUAAUAUUGCCCAGAAUUUAUUAUCUUUAUAUUUCUAGUGCUAUCUUAUUGAAUAUGUCAGAGCAAACUGGAUCUUUAAUAAAUAUUAGACAAAAAAAAAAAAACUUGGUUAUAUGCUUAUUUUUUCAGCUAUAUUAGCUAUAGUUUUCUGUAUUGUUUUGUUUUUUUUUUUUUUUUUAAAUGCCGUUCUAGAACACCCA